GCCUACAGCUCUCUCCCACCAGCUUGGUGCCUGCAAGCCCACCAUUCUCUCUCCAUGCCAUUGUGCUGAGCACAGAAGUCCUGAGCGGAUCACAAGCCCAGUCUGCUCUUCCUGCCAAAUGGUUCAAUCGGAGCCAAUUCCUUCCUCUAUUCUCAGAGAUUCAGGGCAACCCGAGAGAAUAGGACCCUAAGAGGAUUAAACACCCAGGGCGGAGAGAUGGUGAUGCCGAAAACAAGCAGAGGAGAGGAAAAUUGUACUGGGGAUUCACCUAUUGUGAAGGCUGCAGGCUUUUGUUACUUUGUCUCAUCGCCAACUCUAGUGGCAAACUAGGAAAAUUGAAGGUGCCGAGUUUUAACUCUAGUUGUUAAAUUGUACAGGGUUCCCGGAAUCUCCUAACUUCUCCUGUUGCUCACAAAUGUGGUAACUAGAAAAAACAGUUUAAAAACUUGGCAUCCUUCAAAAGUAUCUUAAAAUAGAUUUAUAUUUGUAGGUACGAUCAAUUUUCAAAUGGCCCUUUUUAAGCCUGGAAACAAAGUUAAACUCCACAAUAUUGCAAAAUUAGAAUCUGCAAUUGAACUAAAACUUUAUACAUGGGAUUUGCGGUCUUUCUACAUCUCUGGUUCAGAAAUGAAUUUGGAAUUCAAGACAAUUUAUCAUCUCUUAAGGAAAAAUGAACUGGGAAACAAAAGCGGACUGAAUUUGUAUUGAUAUUAACCCAGUCUUGCGGGUGUUGUUGCUGUGUUAUUUCACCCCAGUCUUCACAUCUGCAAGCACUCACUCUCAUCUGUCAAUUACGCAACUGCAAUUUUGAUCAAAAUGAAACACUCCGCACUGAGAUAAAAACAGGGCGUGGUAUUCUUUUUUGGACUAGGAGAUUUGGAUAAAACGUGAUAACACUGUGGUUGAACUCUGCAAACACUCCCGAUCAUUCACACAAUUUCGGCUUCACUCUGUGGUUUGGAUGCAGAUUGUGGAAAUCACAGCCUGGACCCGGAGAACUUGUCGCAGCAGCAGCAGGGUUUCCGGACCCAGUAUCUCCCUUCCCUUUGCUCUCCUGACAGCUGCCUGCAUCUGGAAAACAUUAAAUAACCUCAUCCUUUAUGUGGAUUCAUUAUGCUCUUCAAAUUCAUUAUCAAUUAUCAACUGACUGUGAAGAAUGUUUGAAAUCAAAAUGAAGAGGAAGUAAUUAAUGAUGAAGAGUAGGAUCUAGAAGGAAAGGUGAGCCCUCCUGGGGUUAGGACACGGAGCUGAAUGCUGCAGCCACUGCGUGUUUCCUUAAAUUCAAUGGCAUUUGCAAUACUUUUUAAAUAAGUGGAAGAUAAGAAAUUUGGCUCCAUUGUAUGUAAGAAGUAAAGCCAAGUCUCAGUGGUAUAUCUUCAAUGGCACUGGAAGGUUUACAUGGAAAAGCCAGACUUUUGGAGUAUUGCUAUCUGUAAAGGGAAAAUAUAAACAACCAGAACAACCUAUCUGAGAAUGGAACUCCCAAAGCAGUAUGACUUAGAUCAAAUGAUUUUUAAGGGGUUUCAGCCCUUAAAUCAAAUGAUUUAUACAAGGGAGGGGGUUCCAUCAUCCAGGGGACUCCCUCCUGCCUUAUAAAUCAUGUGAUCUAAGGGCUGAGACCCCAUUGUGAACAGAGAAGGCCUGCCUUCGAAUCUGCCACCAACUGGGGAUGGGAAGCAACCUUUGACAAGAUAGUUAUUCUCUUUGUGAAUCCAAAGCUGGUUUUUGGAAACCUGAGCCUCAGAAAUUGGCGCUUAGAAUGUGUAGUCCUACAUUGGGCAACGAGACUAUUUCUGUGCUGGGAGUAUAGCCCCCUCUUCCCAUAUCACCCAUUUACCUGCCUCUCAUCCCAUCAGCUGGGCGGGAGGGCAAGGCCAAAGGGCUUCCAUCCUUCACUGUGAGGAAUGCAAGUUCCCUACACGAGAGGGAGAGAGAGCUCAUUAUCAAGAGGUCUUUCCUCCCCAGGCAGCUUCAGAGAACCAUCUGUUGAUGUGGCCAGGAAAUGCUGGCUGAGAUCCCAACAAAGGAGCCGAGAAGUCCUGGCCAAUGUCUGGCACCUGUGUAAAUGUCUGUCACAGCAAGAGUGACCCCCAUAAUUACCUCGACCUUAUUCAAGCGAGAAGUGCCCGUCAGCCUGAGCCCGGUUUGAGAGGCACGCCUGCUGCUCCGUCCCUCCCCCGUGAGCGCGCCAGCUGAAUCUCCAGCUCAGCAGCAGCCCCAAAGCCCCCAUCAUCAGAAUUUCACCUCCUCCAGCAGCAGGAGACCUCCUCCAAGUUGGGGGAGGCGCCCCACACAGUCCUGACAUCAAGGGCUUUCCUCAGAAACACCCCAGCUGGGGGCUUUCUUUUGACUCACAGCACUUUCAGCCAGGAUGUUCAUGAGCCUGGGGUCCAUUGUUUGUGAAGUCAACUGGAUUCCAAGUUUAAACAUGCAGAGGAAAGGAGGAGUUCCUCAAGCACCUCUGAACUCCAGCAGCUCUGGAAUAUUCCCAUUUCAACAUUCCCACCUGCGCUCCGUCCUCCCUCCUGCCUCUUCCAUCAUAGGGGAUGAGAUGUGUCCUUUUCAAAGGGUGUGAGGAACAACUGUUAUGCACAGAACUAAGGUUAGAAAACACCUUGUAAGUCAACUGAUUAACAAGCACAUGGUCUGGAGAUCAGAAGUCCAAAAAAUGGGUCUCACUGAGCUACAAUCAAGGUGUCAACAGGCUGUGUCCUUUCCUGGAGGCUCUGGGAGAGAAUCGGUAUCCUUGCUCUUUUCCCACUUCGAGAGGCUGCCACAUUCCUUGGCUGGUGGCUCCUUCCUCCAUCUUCAAAGCCAGCGACAGAUGAGAUAUGACCUUGACCAGGAAUGCUGCCUUUGACAAUAAAGAAAAAGAAGAGAUGAUGCCUGGACACCACAAACAUCACGUGCACUGGCUGGAUGAUAGAAAAAUACAGCGGUUCCUCUUCUCCACCCACUAUCGCAAAUCCCCAUUGAUAAAUCACUAUACCCCACGUGGACCCAUGAAUUUUGUAACAUAUUUUACAAUCAAAUUGUGUAGACAGGAGCCUUACAAAAAUUAGUUGCCCACAGCCCCGCAAACCCUAAAACCUGCCCUGGUGAGGAGGAUGGUCACCUGAUAUUGUUUUAAAUCCUCCUUGGUGUCCUCCUUCAAAUUAUGCCUAUUGUGCCAGCUCAGUGCCCAACAUACAGUCAAUCUCUAAUAAAUAUUUCCUGGAGGAGAGAGAGAGAAGAAGUUGGUGACACUAGUCAUGCCCCUAAUGUUUUAUUUUUGCUCUUCUAAAAAGCAGUGCAUAAGAAAGUUACCAUAUGCAGUGAAAUAAAAAUGCUGAAUUUACGUCUUUUGCUUCCAGAAGGAGGUGAAUGUGAAGGUCAGAUUUUAGGCAGACUUCAAAUUGAAGCUCAGUUUUAGAUAAAACAUUCUCAGUGCAGAGGCUCAGAGAUGACGCAGUGGGGCGGAGGGUGCCGGAGGGAGGGAGGGAGGCAGGAAAACUCAAGCCCUCUCUCUGAUCUCCAUGGAUGGCCAGAUUAGGAAAUGCAUGUGGAACCACAGGAAGAGCCACACGGGCCAGAAGCGACAUGCUUUUGAGUGGUAAACCCACAAAUGAACAUACAAGUUCAGAAUUCAUAAAUGUCCCAGAGAAGACAGCAAGCUUUAGAAGCAGCAUGCAUUUCAUUACCAAGCAAAUUUACUGAUUUGUUUCAGUUUUAUGUCUUUGGACAAAUAUAGAUUGGCAGGAUUUUCAUAUUCAGCUCACUUCAUGCUGCUGCUUUUGAUUUUUUCCUUCCUUAGUUGUGACCUCUUGCAGAAUUCCUGACACUGAGCUACGAUGUUCUCAAGCAUGUUGCAAUGUCAAGUUCAGGCACUUAAGAAUCAUUAAAUCCAAAAUUUCUCUCAUCUCUGUUGUUUUUGGAAUUGGGGUUGAAAAUGGGUUUGAGGGCAAAGUAUUCUUUCUAAGCAGA
rnacentral:lncRNA from 1 species